AGUCGACGGGAUCCAUCGGGCUUUGCCUGGUGGUGAGAGUGGCGAACGGGUGAGUAAUGCGUGACCGACCUGCCCCAUGCACCGGAAUAGCUCCUGGAAACGGGUGGUAAUGCCGGAUGCUCCAUCACACCGCAUGGUGUGUUGGGAAAGCCUUUGCGGCAUGGGAUGGGGUCGCGUCCUAUCAGCUUGAUGGCGGGGUAACGGCCCACCAUGGCUUCGACGGGUAGCCGGCCUGAGAGGGCGACCGGCCACAUUGGGACUGAGAUACGGCCCAGACUCCUACGGGAGGCAGCAGUGGGGAAUAUUGCACAAUGGGCGCAAGCCUGAUGCAGCGACGCCGCGUGAGGGAUGGAGGCCUUCGGGUUGUAAACCUCUUUUGUUAGGGAGCAAGGCACUUUGUGUUGAGUGUACCUUUCGAAUAAGCACCGGCUAACUACGUGCCAGCAGCCGCGGUAAUACGUAGGGUGCAAGCGUUAUCCGGAAUUAUUGGGCGUAAAGGGCUCGUAGGCGGUUCGUCGCGUCCGGUGUGAAAGUCCAUCGCUUAACGGUGGAUCCGCGCCGGGUACGGGCGGGCUUGAGUGCGGUAGGGGAGACUGGAAUUCCCGGUGUAACGGUGGAAUGUGUAGAUAUCGGGAAGAACACCAAUGGCGAAGGCAGGUCUCUGGGCCGUUACUGACGCUGAGGAGCGAAAGCGUGGGGAGCGAACAGGAUUAGAUACCCUGGUAGUCCACGCCGUAAACGGUGGAUGCUGGAUGUGGGGCCCGUUCCACGGGUUCCGUGUCGGAGCUAACGCGUUAAGCAUCCCGCCUGGGGAGUACGGCCGCAAGGCUAAAAC
rnacentral:rRNA from 1 species